rnacentral:rRNA from 1 species
GGGACCCUGCAUGGUGGGCAGUUUGACUGGGGCGGUCGCCUCCCAAAUUGUAACGGAGGCGCGCGAAGGUUGGCUCAGAGCGGUCGGAAAUCGCUCGUUGAGUGCAAUGGCAGAAGCCAGCCUGACUGCGAGACUGACAAGUCGAGCAGAGACGAAAGUCGGCCAUAGUGAUCCGGUGGUCCCGAGUGGGAGGGCCAUCGCUCAACGGAUAAAAGGUACGCCGGGGAUAACAGGCUGAUACUGCCCAAGAGUCCAUAUCGACGGCAGUGUUUGGCACCUCGAUGUCGGCUCAUCUCAUCCUGGG